AAAAAAAAAAAAAAGUAAGUUCCUUUGGCUCCUCCUUCUGGGUCUGUCCCCUCUCCCCCAGCAGCAGACAUGGCGCUGUCCAUUUCUGGAAGGUUCAGGCCAGGAAGGACACAGGUGUCACCUUGCCCAGAGGUGACCAAAGGUUCUUCGGCUGUGGGCUGGUUCUGCAAAUGAAACCUUAGGGGUGAUGGUCGGUGUAUAACGCUAAGACCAGAGCUGCAAUGGCUCUGAUUCUCCGCCAUAGAGUGCCAGGGCUCUGGGAGGAGCAUUUGAAAACCACAUAUCUCAUGCCCAAUCCUCAUUUUACAGUGGCCCAGAGCAGGAAAACCAAAGGUAUAAGGUUGGGACCAGAGGAAAAGCUGUCACACACACGAGGUCUCGCUCUGUUGCCCAGACUGGUCCUAAACUCCUGGCCUCAAGUACUCCUCCUGCUUGGGCCUUCCAAAUUGUUGGGAUCAUAGAUGCAGAAACCACGGCCCAGGGAAGACGCAGCUUGAGCAAGGUCACCGGCAGGCCAUGGUUUUGCGGGAGGAGGAGCUACGUCAGUCUGCCUUGGAGCUCAGCACCGUGUUUGGCCCAUGGUAGAUGCCCCACAGAAAACACAAGCGGCGUUGAGGGCUCCUGUGGUGAGUGGUCGUUUCUCUUUUAGCAUGCUAAAAGCACUUCCUGUGGGAGUGCCUCCGAGCCCCUCUACUUGAGUGGAAGUUUCUCAAGGCCAGGACCCUGUCCCGUUCCUCAGGGCCCCUCCCCACACGGAGUUUCAGGCAGGCCCUGCUGCUAGGCGCCACAGAGGCUGGGCAGGGUGAGGGGUGUGUCCUGUUUCUCCAGGCACACUCGGUGGUUGACUGAUUAGUCUCAAGAGGCAAUUAAAUUUAAGAGAGGCUUUUCACCUGCUCACAACUCCUCACCCUAUCUGAUUAUGAUGUUAUGCCCCUUGGAGGGGCAGAGAAGGGCAGUCAUUAAAAGACAAACAUUUGGGCCAGGCGUGGUGGCUCACCACAGUAAUCCCAGCACUUUGGGAGGCCGAGGCAGGCAAACCACUUGAGGUGAGGAGUUCGAGACCAGCCUGGCCAACAUGGUGAAACCCCGUCUCUAGCAAAUAUAAAAAAUUAGCCAGGUGUGGUGGCAUGCUUCUGUAAUCCCAGCUACUCGGGAGGCUGAGGCAGGAGAAUUGCUUGAACCUAGGAGGAGGAGGUUGCAGUGAGCUGUCCAAGAUCAUGCCACUGCACUCCAGCCUGGGCAACAGAGCAAGACUCCAUU
rnacentral:lncRNA from 1 species